GAGCCCAUGGCUCAGUGGUUAGAGCGGUUGAUUUCUACUCAACAGAACGUGGGCUUG
rnacentral:tRNA from 1 species